rnacentral:rRNA from 1 species
CGAUUAAACUCUCCUUCGGGRAAGAAUAAAGUGGCGCACGGGUGAGUAACACGUAGGUAAUCUACCUUUGAGUGGGGAAUAACRWUCGGAAACGRWYGCUAAUACCGCAUAAUGCAGCGGCAUCUUAUGAUGACAGUUGUUAAAGGAGCAAUCCGCUUAAAGAGGAGCCUGCGGCAGAUUAGCUWGUUGGUAAGGUAAUGGCUUACCAAGGCUACGAUCUGUAACCGACCUGAGAGGGUGGUCGGUCACACUGACACUGAAUAACGGGUCAGACUCCUACGGGAGGCAGCAGUCGGGAAUUUUGGGCAAUGGGCGAAAGCCUGACCCAGCAACGCCGCGUGAAGGAYGAAGUCUYUCGGGAUGUAAACUYCGUAAGAAURGGAAGAAUAAAUGACGGUACYAUUUGUAAGGUCCGGCUAACUACGUGCCAGCAGCCGCGGUAAUACGUAGGGACCAAGCGUUGUUCGGAUUUACUGGGCGUAAAGGGCGCGUAGGCGGCAAUUCAAGUCAGUUGUGAAAUCUCCGAGCUUAACUCGGAACGGUCAACUGAUACUGUUUUGCUAG